GUUCGAUCCGGUCUGCGGAAUUCGUCUUGUCGUCCAAGACAAGAAGGUUGCGGGCAUUGACCAAAUGCUGCCGUCCCGACCGAAGGGACUCCGCCAAAGCAUUCCAAUCGGGCAGCUGCUUAUCGGUGAUUUGCAGUUCUGCCUUCAGGAAGGCGAUCCUUCCUUCAAUGCGCUCCGUGACGUCCGUUGUGCCGGAGGUG
rnacentral:misc_RNA from 1 species